AAUGAAUGAAUGAAUGGUUACUAACAUGUCAGAUGAAUAUGGGCUUUUUAAGGCCCUGAAACAAACAGUAAUUUGGGGGUUGUUGAGGAUUGAACAUACAUUAGGAUGGACUUAUUUUAUGCACCCGUUAGAAUUAUUUGUGACAAGAAUUCUGAAUAAAGUGAAGUAAUCAUUUAUAUUUCCAUCUGCAGCCUCUCCAUGCAUUUACAGACCCCUGAUAUAAGAAAUAAUCACCUUUGCAGUGAAAACCAAGAAACUCUUCUGGGUCUUCAGCAUCUGAAUGGCCGGUCCUCGUAUAUUUUGGUACAUUCACAAACCCCUGUAUCUUAGCUUUUCACUGGACGUCUGACAAGGCAAAUCAUCUUCGCUUGACAAAGAAGAAUCUGCCAAAAAGAGGACUUGCUUCUUUCAAGUUUGUGUGCUUGUCUUGGGGGAGAGCAAAGAAAAGGAAAGGAAAAGGAGAGCCAUGGAGACUAUUCAAUGCAGCCACCAAGCUUUGGAAGAAAACCCCUGAAGACAGUACAAAGUGCGGCCACCACAAGCAAUGUGGGAUGGGAGCCCCUAGAGCUGGGAGCAGAGGAGUGAAUGUAACCUGACAUGAAGAGUACUUCAUUUCAGCUGUGUGAACUUGGACCCAAGUUUUAAUCUCUGUAAAUCUGUUUCCUCAUCUAUAAAAUAGUGAAAAGUAUUUGACCUCAUGAAGCUGUUGUGAUGAUUAAAGCAGAUAUAUGUGCAAAACAUUUACCAACGACUUGACAUAGAGUAGGUGUAUUCUUUUCCCGUUCAUGUCUUCCACUUCCUCUCUUCUCUCUCUUCUACCUGGUACCAGGUGCUAGGAGAGAAAGACCAGGAUAAGCCUUUCAGGUGACAGCCCACAUGACGGGUACAAGAAAAGGGUGACAGUUGGUGAAAGGCUUACCUUAACAGACAUAAUAAUUGGUAUUUAAAAUAAUCGUUUUAUUCUUGUUUUAUGAUGUGGGCUAGAAAGACAGAACUAGAAAUAAGAGGCUCAGAUGGGUGGUCCUAUUAGGUAUAGACGCCGGUCCUCAAUCUUCAAAACUCUCCCAAUUUACCUUUCUAGGUACUUUAUCAGACUCUGGGUUAUGCCAACAGUUUUAAUUGUUCCAUUGUUAAACAUGUUAACUCCCUGAACUGUUAAC